rnacentral:tRNA from 2 species
GCUUCCAUAGCUCAGCAGGUAGAGCACUUCCAUGGUAAGGAAGAGGUCAUCGGUUCGAAUCCGAUUGGAAGCU